UCUCGUAUUCGCAUAAACUAGAUUGUAGCGGGGGUAAAAUUAAUGGAAGUAUAAUAAGCAGUUUUGUAGAUUAAAGCUUGUAAACUAGGGGAUUUGGAUGGCGCUUUUAGUGUCGGAAUCGUACGCAUUUUGCCAGGCAUUUGGUCGUGUAUUAAAUUUUCCCUUAAUACUAAAGAUGUCGCUGUAUUCUUCAUCUUUUUCGUCCCCAUCCUCUUCAGUGAAAGUGACAUCUUCGUCGGUAGGAGUGCUUUUGUUUUUCAAUAAAACAUUAAAUAUAAAGGCUAGAACAAACACGCCCAUUUCUAUAAUGAAGAGAAGGCCAUAAUCGACUGCUGCCAGUACAUCCCAACGAUCAAAGGGAAGCGAAAGGAAGGAAAACAGAGAUCCCGACGAAUCAAUGGCCAAAAAUAGAUAGGAAAUGCCAGUUACAGCGCGAGCCCUAAAGAUACUGAUAUAUUGAGGUAAGAACCCAAUGUUCACCAAGACAGUAGCUAAGACGCCCAUAAAUACGACAGGCCAUUCAACAUGUCUGCGAAUACCCAAUUUGAUUGUCAAAAUAAGCAUCGCUUGCAGACCUCCUGAAAAUAGCAUAAAGGAAAUAACAACAAAUAACGCUUUUCGCAACGGCCAUUUGGAACCGUAAUAUAAACAUUGGAAAAAAGUAGUGAAAGCAAGUGCUUGGAAUAACUCUGGUUGGACUUUUAAAGCAAUAUUCAGCUCCUGUACUUGGUUGUAAACAGAAAGGGGGAUAGAAGCGACGACCCAGGACAGAAUGAAAAGUGUAUCGAGUCCUUCAGUUGAUUUGGCCCGGUAAUUUUUUAUAAUUUGGGGAAUAAGCUGAACGCACCAACAAACCGUGCCCAAAAUAGCAAAGACAGUGGAAGCUGUAGCAUUAGGAUGCGUCCCAGGAGGAGCAGUAGUCGUAGAACUGGGCAUUGUGAGAUAGUAUGAGUAAAUCCAAUAAAUAAAUU